UACGUAGGGGGCAAGCGUUGUCCGGAAUUACUGGGCGUAAAGGGCGCGUAGGCGGGAUGGCAAGUCGGUCGUGAAAUCCCUCGGCUCAACCGAGGAACGUCGAUCGAUACUGCUGUUCUUGAGGAUUGCAGAGGAGACUGGAAUUCCCGGUGUAGCGGUGAAAUGUGUAGAGAUCGGGAGGAACACCGGUGGCGAAGGCGGGUCUCUGGGCAAUUCCUGACGCUGAGGCGCGAAAGCGUGGGGAGCAAACGGG
rnacentral:rRNA from 1 species